AUCCGUGUAAAUAUUCUCAGACCAUAGGAAGUGCCGUAUGACACUGUAAACCAAUAGCUUCAGCUACUUCUGACAUUGUAAACUUUGUGGUUUGGUCUGUUCCAAAAUCUCUAUUUGCAGCCGGUUUGUUCAUCUGUGUGCGUGAUUUCUGACAUUGUCAACUUUUUGGUUUGUUCUGUUCCAAAAUCUCUAUUUGCAGCCGGUUUGGUUCAGCUUUGUGCGUGAUUUAAAACGGGUCUCUGGGAU
rnacentral:snoRNA from 1 species